GCCGAAGUGGUGGAAUUGGUAGACACGCUGUCUUGAGGGGGCAGUGGCCAUUGGCCGUGCCGGUUCGAGUCCGGCCUUCGGCACCA
rnacentral:tRNA from 1 species